rnacentral:rRNA from 1 species
GACGAACGCUGGCGGCGUGCCUAAUACAUGCAAGUAGAACGCACAGUUUAUACCGUAGCUUGCUACACCAUAGACUGUGAGUUGCGAACGGGUGAGUAACGCGUAGGUAACCUGCCUGGUAGCGGGGGAUAACUAUUGGAAACGAUAGCUAAUACCGCAUAAUAUUAAUUAUUGCAUGAUAAUUAAUUGAAAGGUGCAAUUGCAUCACUACCAGAUGGACUUGCGUUGUAUUAGCUAGUAGGUGAGGUAACGGCUCACCUAGGCGACGAUACAUAGCCGACCUGAGAGGGUGAUCGGCCACACUGGGACUGAGACACGGCCCAGACUCCUACAGGAGGCAGCAGUAGGGAAUCUUCGGCAAUGGACGAAAGUCUGACCGAGCAACGCCGCGUGAGUGAAGAAGGUUUUCGGAUCGGAAAGCUCUGUUGUAAGAGAAGAACGGGUGUGAGAGUGGAAAGUUCACACUGUGACGGUAUCUUACCAGAAAGGGACGGCUAACUACGUG